rnacentral:rRNA from 1 species
GGGGGAUAACACUUAGAAAUAGGUGCUAAUACCGCAUAAGCGCACGGUUCCGCAUGGAACAGUGUGAAAAACUCCGGUGGUAUACGAUGGAUCCGCGUCUGAUUAGCCAGUUGGCGGGGUAACGGCCCACCAAAGCGACGAUCAGUAGCCGGCCUGAGAGGGUGAGCGGCCACAUUGGGACUGAGACACGGCCCAAACUCCUACGGGAGGCAGCAGUGGGGAAUAUUGCACAAUGGGGGAAACCCUGAUGCAGCGACGCCGCGUGAGUGAAGAAGUAUUUCGGUACGUAAAGCUCUAUCAGCAGGGAAGAAAAAAAGUCCUUUGGACUUUGGACGGUACCUGACCAAGAAGCCCCGGCUAACUACGUGCCAGCAGCCGCGGUAAUACGUAGGGGGCAAGCGUUAUCCGGAUUUACUGGGUGUAAAGGGAGCGUAGACGGCAGCGCAAGUCUGGAGUGAAAUGCCGGGGCCCAACCCCGGAACUGCUUUGGAAACUGUGCAGCUCGAGUGCAGGAGAGGUAAGCGGAAUUCCUAGUGUAGCGGUGAAAUGCGUAGAUAUUAGGAGGAACACCAGUGGCGAAGGCGGCUUACUGGACUGUAACUGACGUUGAGGCUCGAAAGCGUGGGGAGCAAACAAGAUUAGAUACCCUGGUAGUCCACGCCGUAAACGAUGAUUAAUAGGUGUCGGGGGGCCAAGGCCCUUCGGUGCCGCCGCAAACG